rnacentral:rRNA from 1 species
AGUUGUUGCUGGCCUCUAGGGGCAUGUGCACGCUUCACUAGUCUUUCAACCACCUGUGAACUUUUGAUAGAUCUGUGAAGUCGUCCUUCAAGUCGUCAGACUUGGUUUGCUGGGAUUUAAACGUCUCGGUGUGACAACGCAGUCUAUUUACUUAACACACCCCAAAUGUAUGUCUACGAAUGUCAUUUAAUGGGCCUUGUGCCUAUAAACCAUAAUACAACUUUCAACAACGGAUCUCUUGGCUCUCGCAUCGAUGAAGAACGCAGCGAAAUGCGAUAAGUAAUGUGAAUUGCAGAAUUCAGUGAAUCAUCGAAUCUUUGAACGCACCUUGCGCCCCUUGGUAUUCCGAGGGGCAUGCCUGUUUGAGUGUCAUUAAAUUCUCAAACUCACAUUUAUUUGUGAUGUUUGGAUUGUUGGGGGUUGCUGGCUGUAACAAGUCGGCUCCUCUUAAAUGCAUUAGCAGGACUUCUCAUUGCCUCUGCGCAUGAUGUGAUAAUUAUCACUCAUCAAUAGCACGCAUGAAUAGAGUCCAGCUCUCUAAUCGUCCGCAAGGACAAUUUGACAAUUUGACCUCAAAUCAGGUAGGACUACCCGCUGAACUUAAGCAUAUCAAUAAGCCGGAGGAA